CAAAGGGCUUCAUUUCCCCAUCUAAAGAAGCCAAAACCAGUUGUGUGGUAGCAUAAUACUCAAACAGAUCUUCAUCAUAUUCAUCUUUGAGCAGAUCCUGAUAGGUUCUAGCUUGAAUAACAUUCUUUUGCUCAUUAGAUUGAAUCUUGGGGCCAGAGGGGACCAAAGGUUUCCUUGGUGGAUCUCCACGAGAUAACGGGAUGGUACAUACCAAAAGAGUUGAGUCAUUCACCCAAACAAAGUUGUCAAAAACAGCAUUUACAUAUACAUCUGGUGACUCGAAAAGAGGUCUGGCUUUCCCAGUAUCCACAUUAGCAACCCAUACUCUCAGUUUGCUGCUGCUGCCAUCAUCCUCAUCAAGGCGGACACUGAAGGCUAAAUGCUGACCAUUGUUUGACCACAUCACAAAAUUAAUUUUAGCACCUUUGGGGAGACCCUGGAUCUCUUUUUCCGGUCCUAGGCUACCAUCUUCCAUUAACUGAUGGAUGGCUAUGCCAGUAUAGAAAGACAUGCGACUCCUGGAGUUACAUUUCCCGUCAAUGCGGAUUCCAGCAAGCUUCUCCUCCGGUCUUGCUAAAUCUGACAAAGGUGGCAAGGAUCUCCGCUUAAGAAACAGUAUUUUAUCCCUUAAUGGAGAGAAUGACAGUGCUGGAAGUGGUGGAGCAUCAGCCACGGGAUAUCGUCUUCCUCCGUUUGAGAUUAGAGAUAUUGUUGAUGCU
rnacentral:misc_RNA from 1 species